rnacentral:rRNA from 1 species
AGCGAACGCUGGCGGCAGGCUUAACACAUGCAAGUCGAACGCCCCGCAAGGGGAGUGGCAGACGGGUGAGUAACACGUGGGAACGUACCCUUUGGUUCGGAAUAACUUGGGGAAACUCAAGCUAAUACCGGAUAAGCCCUUAUGGGGAAAGGUUUACUGCCGAAGGAUCGGCCCGCGUCUGAUUAGCUAGUUGGUGAGGUAAUGGCUCACCAAGGCGACGAUCAGUAGCUGGUCUGAAAGGAUGAUCAGCCACACUGGUACUUAGACACGGCCCAGACUCCUACGGGAGGCAGCAGUGGGGAAUGUUGGACAAUGGGUGCAACCCUGAUCCAGCCAUGCCGCGUGAGUGAUGAAGGCCUUAGGGUUGUAAAGCUCUUUUACCCGGGACGAUAAUGACUGUACCGGGAGAAUAAGCCCCGGCUAACUUCGUGCCAGCCGCCGCGGUAA